ACUUAAAUAGCUUAUUUGUAGAGCAUGGUUUUGAAGCAGCCAGGGAGAUUUUUAUCUUUAAGUA
rnacentral:tRNA from 2 species